AAUAAAACGCUUGGAGAAUAAACGAAGUCUCCGAGUCGCCAAACACGUCUUUCAAAGGGGAGGGUGAUGAUCAAAGCCAACUAAAUAUACUGAAGAUACUUUAACAUGUACACUUGUUCACCUUUGCACAUAUCGAAACGACGUGUUGCAGAUCUUCUAUCUUUAUCCCACAUGAAGAAGCUGCUUGAAUGAAAAAUGGAAGAUAAACCUACCUUGUGUGUUCUCAUGUCCUGUGUUUGACACCGUUGAAAUGAUCAUACACACAAGAAGGGAAAGCAGCACCUUGAAAGUGAGAUUCUGGCUAUGUAUUUAUUCUUUCACUGUUUAAUGUGGC